GACGAACGCUGGCGGCGUGCUUAACACAUGCAAGUCGAACGGAAAGGCCCCCUUGUGGGGUACUCGAGUGGCGAACGGGUGAGUAACGCGUGAGUAACCUACCCUUGACUUUGGGAUAACUUCAGGAAACUGGGGCUAAUACCGGCUAGGAGCUCCUGCUGCAUGGUGGGGGUUGGAAAGUUUCGGCGGUUGGGGAUGGACUCGCGGCUUAUCAGCUUGUUGGUGGGGUAGUGGCUCACCAAGGCUUUGACGGGUAGCCGGCCUGAGAGGGUGACCGGCCACAUUGGGACUGAGAUACGGCCCAGACUCCUACGGGAGGCAGCAGUGGGGAAUAUUGCACAAUGGGCGGAAGCCUGAUGCAGCAACGCCGCGUGCGGGAUGACGGCCUUCGGGUUGUAAACCGCUUUCGCCUGUGACGAAGCGUGAGUGACGGUAAUGGGUAAAGAAGCACCGGCUAACUACGUG
rnacentral:rRNA from 1 species